UUAAACAGAUAGGCUGCUAGCCGAUAUACACAUCUGUAAAUAGCCAACUUCCUCAAAUAUUAUGGUUGAUUUAUCUCAUUACUAUAUAAUUAAAAGAUACAAACAACAUAACUAAUUAGUUACAUUGAAUUCAACAAGGUGUACAGUCCAAUUUUGAACAGAAAUCCCGAUAGUAUCGAAGAUUCAACAUCACGGAAAAACAGGAGACAGGAAAACUUGAGAAACCUUAAAGUGUCUGAUUUUGACAUUCAAACCGAUGAUUCGGGUAAGCGCUACCUUAGUAAAGUUACAUCAGAGUUAACUAAAAACCAUCAGGGUGACCAAACUGAGGAAUUCGAACCCGAAAGUGGUAGGAUGUAUGAAACAAAAACUGCGAUGUGCCCACUGGCAUCCUUUGCACACUUAGAGAAAAGAAACCCAAAUAUUUCUGCGCUAUUUCAAAGACCUAAGGAUGACUUUGAUGAGGAUAAUAAUAGUUGGUUUAACAACAAGCCAUUAGGUGAAAACACACUUGGUGAUAUGAUGGCUUCUAUUUCUAAAGCUGCCAGUUUGUCAAAAGUCUAUAGUAACCAUUGUAAUCGUGCAACUUGCAUUACUCUUUUGAAUGAAGCAGGAUUUGAAGGACGUCAUAUUAUCACUAUAUCUGGCCACCGUAGUGAGGAAAGUAUUAAAUCUUAUUGCCGUGACACAACAAACAAACAAAAACGAGAAAUGUCUCAAUUUGUGUCUGAAUUUACUACAAUAACUGAAACUCAUAGUGAAAAUCUAACUGUUCAAGCAAGUAAUGUUGAAUUCGACAACAGUGGAUGAAUUGGUUCUUUCCGCUUUACACACUGAUCAAAUAAUUGAUGAAAUUGUGCAGGGUGAAGUGGAGCUUCAACCGUUAUCCGAUAUCACGUAUAUUCCAAACACAAAUCAACAGAUGAAAAUUGACUCUAAAGUUGCACCUAGUUCAACAGGAUCUAGUUUAACGUUUCACAACUGCAAUGUUACAAUUAAUAUGGUUCAGCCAUAAAAAUUUAGACUCGUUACAUGUAUUUUGAUUUGUUGAUAUUUUUUGGAAUAUUUAAUAUCAAUUAUCAAACAUA